CAGUUCCUGACACAUGAUUAUGGCUCAGUAAAUCUUAACUAUCAUUCUUACCAUGACUGGAGUUGAAGUCCCAGCUCCAAAACUCUGUAAUAAAAAGAAAGUUACCUUCUCUCUGAGCCUCGGUGUUCUCAUUUGGAAAAAAUGGAGAUUACCAUGCCCGCCUAUCUCCUAAAGUUAAGAAAAUCCAAUGGAAGACAGUAAGUAAAAUUACCUUGCCUGUUACAAGAAUCUACGGAGUAUUACCCUUUUUACAUUUUCUUUUAAGGUAGUACCUUACUUAGGUAUCAUCACCGGAAAAACAACAAUAAUUGUGUAGAAGCCUAGCUGAGGCUAUAGAAAAUGUAAGAAAUAGAAAAUCUGACUUACAAUUUUGUCACAUAGCUGCCUUUGAUAACAUAUUUGAAGGAGACUCAAAGAUUCUCUAACUUUUAUUUGAGGUUAAAUUCUUCCCAAAGCUGCAUACCUGAACCAUGAAUACUUAGUUCUCAGUAAAAAUAUCUUCUCUGAAUUAUUUAUUAAUACAAGGCUAUUACACUUAAGAAUUAAUCUAAGAAAUGGCCAUGUGAAGCAAGUUCUGCCUCAUUUAUAAAGUUCCCAUUGAAAACAUUUGUCCAUUCUUCUACUCAGCAUUUCUAAGGAUCUACACAAUAAAUACCAGCAAAAACUUAAUACGGAGACUCAUUUCAGUGCCUUUUUCUGUACAUUUACAAUUCUGCCUAUGAUACAAUGAGCACAAUGCGUCUUAGUUCAUACCCUGGUUUAUUAAGGGGAUUGCACAUGGCCUGGAACUGGCCAGCUGACAAGGAUUUAGGUCAAAUGGGGACAAGCUGCUCAUUUCCCCCUCUUACAGACUAUCUCUUCCUUGACUUGGCACAUCCCUCUUGUCCUUUGCUUACUCAUGAUUUCUGCUUGUGACUAACCUGGCCCAGGUACUGCCUCAUGACCUCUUUCUGGCCUCACCUCACUAACUGGACACAUUCUUUCUUUCCUGCAGUUCAAAUCCCUGAGGGAAGGUAUGUGAUUGCCUCAGCCAAGCACUGGCUCAUCUGUUUAGGAAGAGCCUUUCGUGCAGGCCCUUCUCGUCUGCUGGCAAGCUGGAGAUGGGCCACCUGGAACGGGGGGACCGUUCUUAGUUCAGCCAGGACAGGACAGAGCUGCUGAUCCACAACGUGCUGUCCAGGCAACUUCCCUGACUGAGAAACCGGUGAAGAGAUUGAGGCCUUAUAUCUGGUUCAUUUGGAGCAGACCCUCCAUAUUGUGGGAUCUUAGAGCAUAAAGGCAAAGAAAAUCAUAAAAAAAGUUCCCACCAGGUUUUGAAGAACCUCAAUUUCAUCACCUGCAAGAUGGUAAUCAUACCAAUCCUAUCCUUCAUCACCUGACUGCUGUGAGAAUUGAAUGGGAAAAGUCAAGGUAUGGAAGCAACAUAAAGAUCCAUUAACAGAUGAAUGGAUAAAGAAGAUAUUUU